CGGGUUGCUUGGCUCUACUGGACCUGGCCAUCAUGAAAAUAGCAGCUUUCAACAUCCAGAAGUUUGGAAGAACCAAAGUGUCCGACCCGGAUGUCCUCAAAGUCCUAGUCAAGAUCGUUUCUCGAUACGACAUCGUUGUGAUUUUGGAGGUCGUGGACAUCAGCGGAGACUCUGUGAAAACCUUCCUGGACGCACUCAACCA